rnacentral:lncRNA from 1 species
AUGUUUAAACUGGAGAAGAAAUGGGAUAAAUGUGACCCUUGGUCCCAAACAAUCCAUGCAAGCAUCUCCCUGUCUGGCAGAUCUGAAGCAGCCAUAUAUUACAGCCAACCUCCUUUUAUGAUGCACUGUAUUACAGAAGUUCUCUCCCUUGUACUCCUCUGAAUCUUCUAGGCCCAUGGACACUCAACAGACUGCUUCAGCAAAGUAAGAUUCUCCAGUUACAUUCUGAACAUUAUUGUAUCAAUUGGCCAGGGGGUGCAAUGCUUAGAGUUCUGGCCUUGGAGUCAGAAAGAUCUGAAUUCAAAUACUUAUUUCAGAUACUUAUUAGCUGUGUGACUCUGGGCAAAUUAUAUAUCCUUUGUCUACCUCAUUUUCCUCAUCUGUGAAAUUUAGAUAAUAAUAGCAUCUACCUCCCAAUGAGGUUGUAAGAAUAAAAUGAGAUAACACCCAUAAAGUGCUUUAUAA